UACGAAGGGGGCUAGCGUUGUUCGGAAUUACUGGGCGUAAAGCGCACGUAGGCGGGUUUGUAAGUAGAGGGUGAAAUCCCAGGGCUCAACUCUGGAACUGCCUUCUAGACUGCAAGCCUGGAGGUCAGGAGAGGCGAGUGGAAUACCGAGUGUAGAGGUGAAAUUCGUAGAUAUUCGGUGGAACACCAGUGGCGAAGGCGACUCGCUGGACUGAUACUGACGCUGAGGUGCGAAAGCGUGGGGAGCUAACAGG
rnacentral:rRNA from 1 species